CUCAUUGGGUGCGUGAGAAGGGAAGGGUGGAUCCUAAAAGGUAAUACUGAGCCUUCAUUCAAACUAAAAGGCUGGAAGGGAGGCAGCUGCCUUUGUUUGCCAUGGAUGGGUAGGGGCUGCACUGAGCAGCACCGGUGUUCUUCAUCCGGCUGCACCCCCAACAGAGCUCUUUCUUCCCCAGAUCCCUUUUACAGUUGGAUUCUCCCUCUUGGAUCUGGCUCUGCCUUAGUCCGACCUAGAGGGAUCAGCUUCGCCCACGCCCACUCUCACCCGGAACCUUUCAUCUCUUAUUGAAGCCUUUUAGGCCCAUUGGGAUGUUCAUUAGAACUCUGAAAACUACAGUUCUCCCCUUUAUGAGGACUGCACCACAGCUCGCCCUCUCCUGGGUUCCGGUAAGAAGAGAUUCCAAUACCACUCUUUUUUCAGAAUUCAGAAAGGCAAGAGACCACCUUACUGAGCUUCAAACUGGGGCUGGGAACGCUGCCAUGAAUUGGGCUUGGUCUGUCUGAAGGGAGCCACCUUUUCGACAAUCCUUAGACUUCUUUUGCCUGUUGGAAUUACACCUUGGAUCGUGGCGAAGUCUAUAGAGGUCAGAUUAAGAAGAACCAAAGCAGAAUAAACGUAGAACCCGAUGCUGAGUUCACGAGUGAGGACGACCUCUUCCUAUAUGCUUUGCUAUACCCUGCGUUUUGAACAUUAAGGACGAGAUAGGAGGCCCAUAAUGUUUCUUCUUGCUUUAAUCCUGUCGUGGCAACGUUGACUUCCACCUGGUUGCAGAGUGAGCCCAUGGGACAGCCCUCUGAAAUUAUACUGCUUACAACCAUGCUGAGUCUGCAAGGACUUCGUCCAAGCCUUUCCGUCCAGGACCUCAAACAGAUCCAAUCACAAGAAGAGAGAUUUCAGGAAAGAGAAAAUUAUUCCUAUCAUCGGGGUUUUUGAAGAACAUGAAAUGACUGGGAAAAUAAUCAUGUUAAGUGGAAAAAAAAAAGAAAUCUAUCUGUUGUAAUUUUCAAAUAAUUUUUAAAUAAAUUUGAAAAAUUAAGAGAACUAUAUAUAUAAUACAUUCCUAAUCUUGUGAAAAAUAUAUAUGCAUUAAUAUUAUUGAAAGAAAUAUAUCAAAAGGUGAACAGCAAUUAUCACCAAUCUAGAUUAUGAGAUUAGGAGUGAUUUUUUUUCUUUGUCCUAUACUAUUUAAUAUUUUCUACCAUUAAAAUAUUCUGAUUUUCUAAUUAGAAUAGUACGUUAGACAAAGAAGGACAAAUAUCACAUGAACUCUCACUCUCUUAUGGAACAGAUCUUGUGGAAUCUAAAAAAGUUGAACUCAUAGAAAAAGAGGAAAAUGAUGGUUACCAGUUAGAAAAAAGGAAUAAGUUCAAGAGAUCUAUUGUACACCAUGGUCAAUAUAGUUAACAAUAUAUUUUAUACUUUAAAAUUGCUAAGGUAGUAGAUUUUAAGUGUUCUCACCACACAAAAAAAUAAGUAUGUGAAAAGCAUAUGGUAAUUAGCUUGAUUUAACCACGCCACAGUGCAUACAUAUGUCAAAACAUCAUGUUGUAUACUAUAAAUAUAUACACUUUUUGUCAAUUUUAAACAGGUUAUAAAAAAACAUGUUAUUGUUGAUAAUUAUGAAAAAUUUUAAUGAUGUGGAAAUGUGUACAGUAUAAUGAUAAAUGAAAGAGUAGUAAAAAUCCUUAUAAAAUAUAA
rnacentral:lncRNA from 1 species